rnacentral:rRNA from 1 species
GAGAAGCAAUACCGCGAGGUGGAGCAAAACUUACAAAAAUAGGUCUCAGUUCGGACUGUAGGCUGCAACUCGCCUACACGAAGUUGGAAUUGCUAGUAAUCGUGGAUCAGCAUGCCACGGUGAAUACGUUCCCGGGUCUUGUACACACCGCCCGUCACACCAUGGGAGCUGGUAACACCCGAAGUCAGUAGUCUAACUGCAAGGAGGACGCUGCCGAAGGUGGGAUUAGCGACUGGGGUGAAGUCGUAACAAGGUACC